AAAAUUAAUUUCUUUACGAUUUUCCAAAAGAGAAAAAAAAUUAAUUUCCUGAUGCAUUGAACACAGAAAAGCACACUCAAAACUCGAACAGACCGACAACUGUUGCUUAUGUUCAGUUCAGUCUGCAAUCUCUGUAAGGUAAAAUUGUAAUGAAACCUAUGCAAUUAUAGGCCAUUGCGAAAUAGGCCCCUCAACUUCACAAUUUGUU